GUGCCAGCAGCCGCGGUAAUACGUAGGGGGCUAGCGUUGUCCGGAAUCAUUGGGCGUAAAGCGCGUGUAGGCGGCCCAGUAAGUCCGCUCUGAAAGCCCGAGGCUCAACCUCGGGAGGCGGGUGGAUACUGCUGGGCUCGAGUACGGAAGAGGCGAGUGGAAUUCCCGGUGUAGCGGUGAAAUGCGCAGAUAUCGGGAGGAACACCAAUGGCGAAGGCAGCUCGCUGGGACGUUACUGACGCUGAGACGCGAAAGCGUGGGGAGCAAACAGGAUUAGAAACCCCAGUAGUCC
rnacentral:rRNA from 1 species